UACGUAGGGUGCAAGCGUUGUCCGGAAUUAUUGGGCGUAAAGGGCUCGUAGGCGGUCUGUCACGUCGGGAGUGAAAACACGGGGCUUAACCCCGUGCCUGCUUCCGAUACGGGCAGACUAGAGGUAUGCAGGGGAGAACGGAAUUCCUGGUGUAGCGGUGAAAUGCGCAGAUAUCAGGAGGAACACCGAUGGCGAAGGCAGGUCUCUGGGCAUUAACUGACGCUGAGGAGCGAAAGCAUGGGGAGCGAACAGG
rnacentral:rRNA from 1 species